rnacentral:rRNA from 1 species
CGCACAUUAAAGUUGUUGCAGUUAAAAAGCUCGUAGUUGGAUUUGUGGCGUAUGGUGUGUUCCGGGCACUUGUUGUCUGAGUAACCUGCUGUUGCCAUCCUUGGGUGGAACCUGUGUGGCAUUAGGUUGUCGUGCAGGGGAUGCCCAUCAUUUACUGUGAAAAAAUUAGAGUGUUCAAAGCAGGCUUAUGCCGUUGAAUAUAUUAGCAUGGAAUAAUGAGAUAGGACUUUUUCGCUAUUUUGUUGGUUUGCGCGAAGAGGUAAUGAUUAAUAGGGACAGUUGGGGG